rnacentral:rRNA from 1 species
CCUACGGGAGGCUGCAGUGAGGAAUAUUGGUCAAUGGGCGUAAGCCUGAACCAGCCAUCCCGCGUGAAGGAAGAAGGCGCUAUGCGUCGUAAACUUCUUUUCCAGAGGAAUAAAAUUUCGUACGUGUACGGAACUGAAGGUACUUUGGGAAUAAGCAUCGGCUAACUCCGUGCCAGCAGCCGCGGUAAUACGGAGGAUGCGAGCGUUAUCCGGAUGUAUUGGUUCGAAAGGGUACGAAGAAGGAAUUGGAGAAAACCUGCAGCUUAACUGGAGAACUGCCAUUGAUACUGUUAGUCUUGAGUACGGUCAAGGUAGGCGGAAUGUGUAAUGUAGCGGUGAAAUGCUUAGAUAUUACACAGAACACCGAUUGCGAAGGCAGCUUACUGGGCCAUUACUGACGCUGAUGCACGAAAGCGUGGGGAGCGAACAGGAUUAGAUACCCGAGUAGUC